rnacentral:rRNA from 1 species
AUUGAACGCUGGCGGCAGGCCUAACACAUGCAAGUCGAGCGGAUGAAGGGAGCUUGCUCCUGGAUUCAGCGGCGGACGGGUGAGUAAUGCCUAGGAAUCUGCCUGGUAGUGGGGGAUAACGUCCGGAAACGGGCGCUAAUACCGCAUACGUCCUGAGGGGGAAAGUGGGGGAUCUUCGGACCUCACGCUAUCAGAUGAGCCUAGGUCGGAUUAGCUAGUUGGUGGGGUAAAGGCCUACCAAGGCGACGAUCCGUAACUGGUCUGAGAGGAUGAUCAGUCACACUGGAACUGAGACACGGUCCAGACUCCUACGGGAGGCAGCAGUGGGGAAUAUUGGACAAUGGGCGAAAGCCUGAUCCAGCCAUGCCGCGUGUGUGAAGAAGGUCUUCGGAUUGUAAAGCACUUUAAGUUGGGAGGAAGGGCAGUAAGUUAAUACCUUGCUGUUUUGACGUUACCAACAGAAUAAGCACCGGCUAACUUCG